AUGGGUUUAUGUGAAGCACCCGACACUUUCACGCGAGUUAUACAUUUUGUUCUUAGGCCAUACAUUGGUGUAUUUGUUGUGGUCUAUUUCGAUGAUAUUCUUGGCUUCAGAAAAUCCCUCAAAGAUCAUGUCACCCGUCUUAGAACCGUGUUGCAAACCCUUAGGAAACAGCGACUUUAUGCUAAUAUGGACAAAUGCCUUUUCAGUGUUGAUAAGCUUGUUUUCUUGGGUUUUGUGGUAUCUUCUAAGGGUGAGCAUGUAGAUGAAUCUAGGAUCAAUGCUAUUAAAACUUGGCCACAACCAUCCAUAAAGCUUGGCAGGUUUCUAUCGUAG
rnacentral:rRNA from 1 species